GGCAGCAGCUAAGAAUAUUCCGCAAUGGACGAAAGUCUGACGGAGCGACGCCGCGUGGAUGAUGAAGGCCGGAAGGUUGUAAAAGCCUUUUAUGACUGAGGAAUAAGUGAAGUGAGAGAAACGCUUCAUGGUGACUGUAGGUCAUGAAUAAGCAACGGCUAAUUACGUGCCAGCAGCCGCGGUAACACGUAAGUUGCGAGCGUUGUUCGGAAUUAUUGGGCGUAAAGGGUAUGUAGGCGGUUCUGCAAGUCUGGUGUGAAAUGCCGGGGCUCAACCCCGGAACUGCGUUGGAAACUGCAGGACUUGAAUCGCUGAGGGGCAGCCAGAAUUCCAGGUGUAGGGGUGAAAUCUGUAGAUAUCUGGAAGAAUACCAAUGGCGAAGGCAGGCUGCCAGCAGAUGAUUGACGCUGAGGUACGAAGGUGCGGGGAGCAAACAGGAUUAGAUACCCUGGUAGUCCGCACAGUCAACUAUGUACACUGGGUGUCCGGCCAUGAGGCUGGGUGCCGAAGCAAACGCGAUAAGUGUACCGCCUGGGGAGUAUGCCCGCAAGGGUGAAACUCAAAGGAAUUGACGG
rnacentral:rRNA from 1 species